ACCCUCCGGGAUCCUUGUCCCUCAGAUCUAAAUGUUGGUCUGAUUGGCUGAAAAAGGAGGAAGAAUAAAACUGAAGUAGAGUUGGAGUCUUUAAUGACUUACAAGUUCAUUUCAAGCAUAG
rnacentral:snoRNA from 1 species